CAAAGCUUUACUGUGAAAAGAUUUUUAAGUGAUGAAAAAGGGAGAUAAGGGAGAACAUUCAACUAUAACUUUAGCUAAUACAGUUCAAUGCAGCAAUCAUUAGAAUCUGGUGAAUGUGCAAACAGCAGAGGCAAUGUGAGCAUUUCCUAUACAGUCAGCUUUCAAGUUACCUUCAUGCAGCUGAAUAGAAAGGUUUAAAUUUAGGCUGAAUCAUAGUAUGUUCUACCAUACAUCUAAAAGAAGUUCUGUGUAUGCAAAUACAAAGGGAGGAAAUUACAUUUCCUUUCUCUCACGCAGCAGUCACGCACCCCCUUGCAUUUUUGCCUCCCACAGUUGCACUCUUAUCUUUUCUGUUUCUCAUAAUGGCAGUGCCCAUCUGAAUAAUAUCAUGUUUUGAACAACCCAUGGAGAUCUUCCAUUUCUCUAUGGAGAAGGAUGUUGAAGCGGCCUCUUGUCCUAUAAGGAGAUAGCCUUUCUUCUACCACGUGUCCUUUCUUUCUUAUUCUUGCCUUCAAAGUUAAUUCGCUUCCUCUGCAGAGUGACACGACUUUGGAGCCUACAGCUGUCCCAGAGAUCACCAGCAGAACCCACAGACACCAGAGUUCCUUCCCUGCAAAGAGGCAGUGCUAGUUAUUACGCGGGAACGCUGAGUAGAUGUUUUCAGAGAAAUAUUCAUCAGAACCCAAAGAUCUCUUUUGUGAGUACAGAAUCAGCUUAUAGUCCACCAUUGUAUAUGUAAUUUUUUUCCCCAUGUGCACAACUUUCCAUUUAACUAUGUCACAUUUUAUCUGUCGUUUUCUUAUCCAGGCACUCAGUCUUGUAAAGUCUUUCUAUAGCUCUUCAGUUCUUCACAGCCAUUUUAACUUCAUCACAAUUUGUCCUCUAACUUUCCUUUACCUGAAUAGCUUAAUAUCAUUAGCAAUCUGUGAUACCUCACUGCUCGCUCUCUUUUUCCAGAUCAUUUAUGAAUACAUUAAGCAGCACAAGUCACAGCACAGGUCCCUGCAGACUCCUCUUGUGAUCUUCCUCUUCUAUGAAAACCAACCUUUAUUUCUGUUUUAAUUCUGCUUCCUGUCUUCUAGCCAUUUUUUGAUCCAUUCCCUUUUCUUCUUAUUGCAUAAAGGCUUUUUUUUUUUUUUCCUUGCUUUUCUCUUUUUUUAAUGAAGCUUUGUCUAGGGAUCUCAUUGCCAUUGCCGCUGGGAGUCCUGUAGCCCUUAAACAGGAGCUCUCCUUGUCCACACGUGUUAACUCUAUCAAAGAAUUAUAGAUCUGCAACAUGUGAUGUAAUGUAACAAAAGCUGUGCUGUGUCUUCCUCAAUAUGUUCUAUUUAUGUAUGUGUCCAUUGAUUCUGUUAAGAAGGACAGAUAAAACUUAUUUGCCCAGAUGGCUAACGCAACAGACUUACUUCUGUGUAGCUGCUUGCAUCUUCACUGAAGUCAUUUCUGAAAGUGGCUGGCACAGUCCCUACUGAGUUACCAGGGAAAGGAAUUUUAAAACCAGGGCCACGCACUUCAGUACUUCAACUCUCAGCUGCCUGAUUUCUCUUAGAGCUCUCGGAUGGAGGCCAUCUGGUCUCCACAGCGUCUCACUUAUUUCUUUGUUCCCUAACAUCUUCUGCCCCACAUUUAAAUUUGAGGUAAAUCUCCUGAAUUUCUCAUAAUGAAAAGUGCUGGCAUGAGUUUCUCAAAGCUUUUGCACUGUGAAAACAGAUGAAAAACCAUGAAUGUAGUUUUUUUCUAUGGCUUGUUUUCUUUAAGUGUUCUUCUUCCAGAUUGAUGGUCUAUAGGCUUUUUUUAAUGAAAAAGUUCUGUUACUUACAAGCCUCCUUUCAAGCCACUACAAAACAUAACUAUGCAAAAGUUGUUGAUUAUAAAAGCUGAUGUAAAAUGUGAGGUUUGUGUUGUAUUAUUAGCAAGAACACGUGCUUGUUUCCUGGAAAAGAAAACGGUAAUCUGUGCUGCUCUCAUCAGAUGUCGUGAUCAAAGCACUGGGCUUAAUAAACAAAAGAGUAACAGAAUUACAAAGUUAGAUCAAACUAGGGAGUUGAUUGAUCCGAGAUCCUGUUAUCUCCAUGAAACUUGUCAGGAAAUACAUCACGGAGAGUUAGGGAAUAUCCAGCUUCUAGGUAUACUUUGAGCAACAAUGUUACGAUGUUUAGUGAUCGUGGAUGUUUCCGUAGAGUCGUAGGAUAUCCUGAGUUGGAAGGGACCCAUGACGAUCAUUGAGUCCAACUCCUGGCUCCACACAGGACAAAUCUGCCUCUUGUGUGCAAGGGAAAUAAUGAGAAGAACCUGGGUGAAUGUCAGAGCUGCUACUUUUGUAAUGAAUAAUGUGUCUGUCAACUUAAAAAUCAAGAAAAAAACAAUAGUUCUUUUAUUCUGAGAUAAAAACGUUGCAUCAUUGUACAGAAUCUCACAAAACACAUUAUAAAUGUUUUGCACUACAAAUAUAUAUAUAUAAUUUA
ensembl:lncRNA